rnacentral:tRNA from 1 species
UGGUAGGCGGUGGGGAGCGCCAGGCCCGUCUCGCGGGCCAGCUGCUUGGCGGUGGCUCCGUACUCGUGUUCGGCGACACGUUCCAGCAG